UAUUAAAUGCAAUCAACAAAAAUCUUGAUCAAACUAAAUCUCAACUGCUUUAUGCACUUACUUAGUUCACAAUAAUAAUAACGCAUGUCCCGCUAUAUGUGUGCAUGUAUGUACAUAUGUAUGCAUGUGUGCGUGCGUAUGUGAAUGUGCAAGGUGAAUGCAAAAGUCUAUAUGCACGGCGCACCAAUUACCGUUAGAAAUGUUAACCCAAUAUUCUUGUUAUUGCUCUGCCUGAUUUUCUUGUUGUUGUUACUGUUGUUGUCGUUCGGUGCCUAAGUGUGGGCACAUAAAACCGGAGAGCCAUGACACAGCUACAGCCGCGGCGUACGAAUUGCCACCAUCGAGCAUGCGUGCCACACUCACCGUCAUAAAACUGAGGUCAAUAUCGUCAGUGGCAACGGAGCAAAUAGAAAUAUGAAUAACUGUUUAUGAGAAGUAUACGGAAAGGAAAAAAAAAACAACAAAUAAAUAAAGACGCAAAAAAUGCGCACUGCUUUUGUGUAAAAGAGACGACAUAGGGUACUAUCACAAAAUGCGAAUAUAAAAACAGAAAACAUCCAACAGC